rnacentral:rRNA from 1 species
GACGAACGCUGGCGGCGUGUUUAACACAUGCAAGUCGAACGGAAAGGCCCUGCUUUUGUGGGGUGCUCGAGUGGCGAACGGGUGAGUAACACGUGAGUAACCUGCCCUUGACUUUGGGAUAACUUCAGGAAACUGGGGCUAAUACCGGAUAGGAGCUCCUGCUGCAUGGUGGGGGUUGGAAAGUUUCGGCGGUUGGGGAUGGACUCGCGGCUUAUCAGCUUGUUGGUGGGGUAGUGGCUUACCAAGGCUUUGACGGGUAGCCGGCCUGAGAGGGUGACCGGCCACAUUGGGACUGAGAUACGGCCCAGACUCCUACGGGAGGCAGCAGUGGGGAAUAUUGCACAAUGGGCGGAAGCCUGAUGCAGCAACGCCGCGUGCGGGAUGACGGCCUUCGGGUUGUAAACCGCUUUCGCCUGUGACGAAGCGUGAGUGACGGUAAUGGGUAAAGAAGCACCGGCUAACUACGUGCCAGCAGCCGCGGUGAUACGUAGGGUGCGAGCGUUGUCCGGAUUUAUUGGGCGUAAAGGGCUCGUAGGUGGUUGAUCGCGUCGGAAGUGUAAUCUUGGGGCUUAACCCUGAGCGUGCUUUCGAUACGGGUUGACUUGAGGAAGGUAGGGGAGAAUGGAAUUCCUGGUGGAGCGGUGGAAUGCGCAGAUAUCAGGAGGAACACCAGUGGCGAAGGCGGUUCUCUGGGCCUUUCCUGACGCUGAGGAGCGAAAGCGUGGGGAGCGAACAGGCUUAGAUACCCUGGUAGUCCACGCUGUAAACGGUGGGUACUAGGUGUGGGGUCCAUUCCACGGGUUCCGUGCCGUAGCUAACGCUUUAAGUACCCCGCCUGGGGAGUACGGCCGCAAGGCUAAAACUCAAAGGAAUUGACGGGGCCCCGCACAAGCGGCGGAGCAUGCGGAUUAAUUCGAUGCAACGCGUAGAACCUUACCUGGGUUUGACAUGGAUCGGGAGCGCUCAGAGAUGGGUGUGCCUCUUUUGGGGUCGGUUCACAGGUGGUGCAUGGCUGUCGUCAGCUCGUGUCGUGAGAUGUUGGGUUAAGUCCCGCAACGAGCGCAACCCUUGUUCACUGUUGCCAGCACGUUAUGGUGGGGACUCAGUGGAGACCGCCGGGGUCAACUCGGAGGAAGGUGGGGAUGACGUCAAGUCAUCAUGCCCCUUAUGUCCAGGGCUUCACGCAUGCUACAAUGGCUGGUACAGAGAGUGGCGAGCCUGUGAGGGUGAGCGAAUCUCGGAAAGCCGGUCUCAGUUCGGAUUGGGGUCUGCAACUCGACCUCAUGAAGUCGGAGUCGCUAGUAAUCGCAGAUCAGCAACGCUGCGGUGAAUACGUUCCCGGG